UCGCUGAAUGCCACAGUCCUCCUGCGACGGGACACCGCCUCCGCACUGCUGUUUAAACAUGAAGUGUGGAUGUUAGAAGAUCCCAAAUAUGUGUCUUUUGUCCCGUCUUCCUCUCCUCAUCCUCAACAGGUCGCAGUGGGCCGCCCUUCCCUGACCGUGGUUCUGCCAGAGGGUGCUUCCUGUUAAAAGAAAUAGUCAGGACCCAGAUGAACCUGAGCUGGAAUUCAGUGUGGCAUGCACAGACCUGGUGACUCCUUCUCUGGAACGAAAACCCAACGCCUUUGUAGCAGUGAGCUGCACGACACCGCCGCAGACCUUCUGGACCAAACAUGCCCAGACUGAAGUUAUAGAAGGCUAGGGCCUAUUAUAUGCCGCAGCCUAAAUGCAGCUGGGUUGCAGAGGAUGGAGUGAUCACUGGCUAUCUACUUACAGGGUGGUGGGUCUCAGGGGACAGCUGCUACCCCUGUUGAAGUGAACAACGUGUGGAGUGCAACUGGCUUUGUGGCAUAGCUGGCUCUGGCCUUGGACUGUGUGUUUUUACUUUGUACCUAAAUGGGACACUGGACAUUUUUAACUAUUAUUCAUUGUGUUUAUAAAUUAAAUUUUAGAAUUUUAUUGACUGUCAUCUUUUUGCCCACGGCGGAGACGGUUGGUCAGACCUAGAAUCUCUUUGUGUGUGUGUGUAACGUCAGCACUUUUUGAAGGGUUUUGCAUAAAAGAGUGUGAGCAGGUCAAAAGGUCAAUACAUUUAUUGUAGUUUUAUGGCAGCACCCUCUAGUGGCCUUGAAGCAAACGGUCUCCCAAGUAAGCCAUGACAUCUCCGGUCUCUCCUACUUUUGUGUGCUCUGCUGGAAGAGCAGCAUUGGAUCUAGUGAUACAGACUGAGUAAGCUGAUUAGGACAGGCCUGGAGAAAUGUGGUUUGCAUGAACUAUCAGAGGAAAAAACAACCUUGUACAGCUCAUACUUAUUAACAAAAAUUAUAAUACACUAAUAAUAAAUACUUUUGAUGACAUUCAGAUUUCUGGACUCACAAGUUCAUAGAACAUUAUGAAACUCUGAGAUAAGUCAUUUUUUGUUCCUUCAACUAGAGCAGGGCGAUAUGACCAAAAA